rnacentral:rRNA from 1 species
CUACGGGAGGCACCAGUGAGGAAUAUUGCACAAUGGGGGAAACCCUGAUGCAGCAACGCCGCGUGGAGGAUGACGCAUUUCGGUGUGUAAACUCCUUUUAUAUGUCAAGAAAAUGACGGUAGCAUAUGAAUAAGCACCGGCUAACUCCGUGCCAGCAGCCGCGGUAAUACGGAGGGUGCAAGCGUUACUCGGAAUCACUGGGCGUAAAGGACGCGUAGGCGGGUUGGAAAGUCAGGUGUGAAAUCCUACAGCUUAACUGUAGAACUGACUUGAAACUUCUAAUCUAGAGUAUGGGAGGGGGAGAUGGAAUUAGUGGUGUAGGGGUAAAAUCCGUAGAUAUCACUAGGAAUACCUAAAGCGAAGGCGAUCUCCUGGAACAUUACUGACGCUAAGGCGUGAAAGCGUGGGGAGCAAACAGGAUUAGAUACCCCAGUAGUC